AAUUGACCUGCCGCCUAUUAUCAGUUCUGUAACUAGGAGGAAGUGACGUAGAUAGAGGCAGCCUACAUAAUGACCAUAACACAAUGUGUACUUGGAAGAGCAUUAUGAAGAGGGAAAAAUGGUAUUAAUUAGUUGAAUAGGCACACCAAACAUGCCAGGAACUGGAAACUGAGAGAAGUUUGGAACAACCGCUGUCUAACGUUACAAACAAGUGACCACGAAUAAACCAGGUUUGCCAAAAUGUAUAUGGAUUAUACAUCAACAAACUCAAGAUCACAGCUAUUCCAAUCCAGCAGGAAAUGUUAUGAAGCAACAUCCCAAGAGUCACAGAUACUGCUGUGUACCUCACUGCACCAGUCGUGGUUACAACAAAGAUGAUGAGCAUGGUGAAAACUUGCACCACUUCAGAUUUCCAGAUUUUUUGGUGCAAAUACUAGUACAGCUGUAUUGAUGCUUUAUCUUUUUCUGUAUCUAUUAUCCUUGAAAAUACAUACUCAUUGGCAUCAAAAUAGUUUUGUAACUUUUUUA